UCGGUCUGUCACCAGGGCUCGACCAGUCUCCCCCUGAUACGCCACAAUUAUGACGACAUUUUGUGAAGUUUUUGUUCGUUAUGGUGUUCGGCGAGGGUUUUGACGGCUGUUCCUGCACACUACAUUUUGUUCUGGAGUAUAUGCCCCUUCGUCCUUGAUUGGUCAACUGUAAGGGUGACGUACAUUUCUUCUUCUUCAGCCCGAAACUCAUAGGUGGCGGCAACACACCCGGUGUAGUCUACCAUACAACUUUAAAGAAGAAGAAGCCCUAAACUCAGUGUGUAUUCAACAUGGCGAACAACAACUUCAAGCAUAAAAAACAACAACUUCAAGCAUCGAUUUACCGAGGAGGGACAGAAGUACCUUAACCACUAUAAUUAUAGCCAUGCAUUAUAUAAAGAACAGCAUGUAAAUGCCAAUUAAUGGAGGGUGAUUGCGGAAACGCUGGGGUCCAAUCCAAUCACUUGUUUGAAAAAGUGGGGUAUGGUUCGCAACAAGUUUGUCAAGGCAAAGAAAAGAAAAGAAACAAGGGCCACAGUGGAAAUGCUUGUGGAAAAGCUACUACAGAAAUGUUGCUGCGGGCUUGUUCAGCACGGGAAGACUGAAAGCAACAUGAUGUCUUCACCAAAGGAUGAGAGGCACAAACACCAGUGAAUGGAGACAUCACCUGGUUUUGUUCUCUGCGCCCCAGCACUGUCUGUUCACCGGCCCCAAACACUACCUCUCCAGACACUCUUAAUUCCCUCUCCGCAGGGCCCUGGCACCUACAGCUGACUUCAUGGAUGAACUCUUGCCAAAACUCUGGGAGAAACUUGAUCACCAGCUGCAAGACAAGAGGAGGACGUGGUCUGAACAACUGGGACUACAGUGAAAUUAAGUUUGGUUGUUGUUCAGACAUCUCAGAAGUUAAACACAUUUGUUUCCAUAGACACUUGUUUACAUGUCUGUUCUCAGCAGACACUUUUGUACUGUGGCUUACUUUCGGAGCCCAGAAGCAAGAAUAAAGGUUUUAUUUAUGUGUGCUGAAAAA